rnacentral:rRNA from 1 species
UACGAAGGGGGCUAGCGUUGUUCGGAAUUACUGGGCGUAAAGGGCGUGUAGGCGGAUCAAUUAGUUAGGGGUGAAAUCCCGGGGCUCAACCUCGGAACUGCCUCUAAUACUGUUGAUCUAGAGAUUGUGAGAGGAUAGCGGAAUACCCAGUGUAGAGGUGAAAUUCGUAGAUAUUGGGUAGAACACCAGUGGCGAAGGCGGCUAUCUGGCGCAAUACUGACGCUGAGGCACGAAAGCGUGGGUAGCGAAAGGG